rnacentral:rRNA from 1 species
UUAACGCGCAGGCCGGAGGCUGGCCCCCCACGAUAGGAAUCAACGUUCCAUCAGGGGUGUGCAGAUGUGCGCCGGUCUUACGCCCCAUUCUUGUCUACCUUACUCGGUUGCCUCGGCGGGCCGCGCUCUCCUGGGAGAGUCGUCCGGCGAGCCUCUUUGGGGGCUUUAGCUGGAUCGCGCCCGCCGGAGGACAGACAUCAAAAAAUCUUGGAAAGCUGUCAGUCUGAGCGUUAGCAAGUAAAAUUAGUUAAAACUUUCAACAACGGAUCUCUUGGUUCCGGCAUCGAUGAAGAACGCAGCGAAAUGCGAUAAGUAAUGUGAAUUGCAGAAUUCCGUGAAUCAUCGAAUCUUUGAACGCACAUUGCGCCCUCUGGUAUUCCGGGGGGCAUGCCUGUUCGAGCGUCAUUUCAACCCCUCAAGCCCGGCUUGUGUGAUGGACGACCGUCCGACCUCCUCUUUCGGGGGCGGGACGCGCCCGAAAAGCAGGAUGGCCAGGCCGCGAUCCCGGCUUCCUGGGCGAAUGGGCAGUCAAACCAGCGCCCUCAGGACCGGCCGCUCUGGCCUUCCCCCAAAUCUCUCUGAAGAUAUUUUUUCAGGUU